UGGCUUAAUUUGACUCAACGCGGGAAAUCUUACCGGGUCCGGACACACUGAGGAUUGACAGACAAAUAUAGAAAUUUUAUAUUUCUCAUAUAUAAAGAUGCUAGUUCUUUCAUGAUUAUGUGAUAGGUGGUGCAUGGCCGUUCUUAGUUCGUGGAGUGAUCUGUCUGCUUAAUUGCGUUUCAAUUUUUAUUAUGUAUACGUAUGACCCACGUUUACGCGUGCGAGUCUAGUAUGCUAUCAUUUGAAAGCAACGAACGUGACCGUAUCCUUUUAUUAUAUACGCACGCGUAUAUUUAUUCAUUAAAGGGACCGCUGUUUCUUUUUUUAAACCAGAGGAAGGUUACGGCAAUAACAGGUCUGUGAUGC
rnacentral:rRNA from 1 species